CAGCCGCCGCGGUAACACGGAGGGCGCGAGCGUUACCCGGAUUUACUGGGCGUAAAGGGCGUGUAGGCGGCCUGGGGCGUCCCAUGUGAAAGGCCACGGCUCAACCGUGGAGGAGCGUGGAAUACGCUCAGGCUAGAGGGUGGGAGAGGGUGGUGGAAUUCCCGGAGUAGCGGUGAAAUGCGCAGAUACCGGGAGGAACGCCGAUGGCGAAGGCAGCCACCUGGUCCACUUCUGACGCUGAGGCGCGAAAGCGUGGGGAGCAAACCGGAUUAGAGACCCCAGUAGUCCCUGUCUCUUAUAC
rnacentral:rRNA from 1 species